rnacentral:rRNA from 1 species
CUUCCGUAGGUGAACCUGCGGAAGGAUCAUUACCGAGUUGAUUCGGGCUCCGGCCCGAUCCUCCCACCCUUUGUGUACCUACCUCUGUUGCUUUGGCGGGCCGCGGUUCUCCGCGGCCGCCCCCCUCCCCGGGGGGGUGGCCAGCGCCCGCCAGAGGACCAUCAAACUCCAGUCAGUAAACGAUGCAGUCUGAAAAACAUUUAAUAAACUAAAACUUUCAACAACGGAUCUCUUGGUUCUGGCAUCGAUGAAGAACGCAGCGAAAUGCGAUAAGUAAUGUGAAUUGCAGAAUUCAGUGAAUCAUCGAAUCUUUGAACGCACAUUGCGCCCUUUGGUAUUCCGAAGGGCAUGCCUGUUCGAGCGUCAUUACAACCCUCAAGCUCUGCUUGGUAUUGGGCACCGUCCUUUGCGGGCGCGCCUCAAAGACCUCGGCGGUGGCGUCUUGCCUCAAGCGUAGUAGAACAUACAUCUCGCUUCGGAGCGCAGGGCGUCGCCCGCCGGACGAACCUUCUGAACUUUUCUCAAGGUUGACCUCGGAUCAGGUAGGGAUACCCGCUGAACUUAAGCAUAUCAAUAAGCCGGAGGAA